AGAAUCAACGCUGGCGGCGUGCCUAACACAUGCAAGUCGAACGCGAGAGUCUCGCAAGGGAUGAGUAGCGUGGCAAACGGGUGAGCAACACGUGGGUGACCUGCCUUCGAGUGGGGGAUAACGUCCCGAAAGGGACGCUAAUACCGCAUGACAUCCUGCCUUUGAAGAGGUGGAGAUCAAAGCCGGGGAUUCGCAAGAACCUGGCGCUUGUAGAGGGGCCCGCGCCUGAUUAGCUAGUUGGUAAGGUAAUGGCUUACCAAGGCUUCGAUCUGUA
rnacentral:rRNA from 1 species